CACUGUUGACAAGCCAAGACGCCAAGAGUGCAAGUAGCUCAAGCCAAGCAAGGUCGAAGCCAGGUUGACCACGUGACCGUAUGUCAACGGACCGUCAAGGCCUGUUUCAUCGGACCGCUCUGCCGAUCUCUCGGCGUGGAGGAAACGUAAACAAAGGAGCUGUGCGCACCUGCUUUAAACAGAAGGCAGAAAACAAUGAGCCAGCCAUCAUCGUGCAGGAAGCCGACGCCAAAUGGGCUGCUGCUGAAUCGGUCAGGCAUGCACCAGCUAGGACCAAGAAAAUGGAGCAGUGUGCCUCUUCUCAGGAGUGACUGAGGGGCUGCCACAAGGGGAGAAGGCAAGCAUGUUUCUGAUUACAAGGAUGGACAGUUGGGCUGGGCUAGUUGGUAAGAAUUCAUGUUGAGAAACGGUGCGAAAACCAGACAAAGGAAACAGAACACACAGUACCUUGUCCUGUGUGUUUUCUUAUCCGUGCAUUUUGCGCUGUUUUUCAGCAUGUUUCUGCCUUGAUUUUUCUGUUAGUUUUAAAUGUUAGUAGUUGGUUACUUUGAUCCCAGUUGGAAGCAUGGAAUUGGUUAACCGUGCUAAAUGCAUAGAAUUGAAAAAAAAAAAAAAAAAA